UGAUGAAGGCCCUAGGGUUGUAAAGCUCUUUCACCGGAGAAGAUAAUGACGGUAUCCGGACGAAGAAGCCCCGGCUAACUUCGUGC
rnacentral:rRNA from 1 species